AGGGAGGCUCUUUCUCCGACCCGCUCGGGGUGAGGCGGCCGUGCGCCCAGGGCGCGGCGCGGCGCGGCGCGACGCUGCCGGAGUGCUAGGCUCCGGCUGCAGCCACCGCUGCCUUUGUCUUAGAGGCGCCGAGGGGCUCCAGCCUCGACCUCUCCCGGGCCUGUAAGAACCUCGCGCCCCACUAGCUCUUUCUCCAGCGAAGCCCUGCCCUCACCACCCCAGACAUCCUUCCCCGCGCUCCUCUUUCCCGUCCCCAACCCGGCUCGGCGAAACCUCCCAGUGCCAGAGAAAAAGAAAUCCGCUUCGGAAGCUGAGAUUUCAGACAAAAGCUGCCUGUACCUACAACUCGGAGGCUCCAACCAACCACUGUUUUUUGUUUUGUUUUGUUUUUAACUUUAACACCUAUUGCCUGGGCUUUAAUUCCCCCUCACCCCUUCUCUUUAUUCUCCCGCUCUAAGCUUCUCCCUUGUGAUUAUAUUUAGUGGCGUUAUUUUCGUAUUUAUAUUUCUGUCCGCUGGGCUCUGAUCUGCCGAGAUGGCUCAGCCGCAGCAGCUCUACCAGUGGCUGGAAACCUCACAUCCACAAGCAGGGCUCGCAGCUCGCUCGGCUCCGAGAGGAUUUUUCCCCCUCCCUCCAGCUGAAACCUCGCAGAAAACUCCCCCUGCGGUCGACUGGAAAAUGAGCUCACCCAAAUCUCGGUAGGCAGCCGUGGAGGAGUGCUCGGCCAAUCAGGAGGCGCCCCCGCCCAGGCCGCCGCGCAUUGGCUGCGGGGAAAAUCAAUUAUCAAAUAAUCGAUCAGCAGGGAGCUUCGAUCUGCGGGGAAUGCGAACUGCCAGUCCCUAUUCCCGCCCUGAAGGUGGCCAAAAGGCUGACUCCCUCCAAGCAGCCCGCCCGCGCCUCCAUCGCCCCCACCCACGUCCCACUCGCCAGCUGCGGACUGAACCCUCACCCUCAAGGGGGUGUAGGUAGGGAAAGAGUUUUGAGCAAGAUUGGGGGUAUCCCUUCAUCCGAAGAUUGUUUGGGAAAGGUUAGGAGCUCUAAAAUGUAUUGAAGCCAACUCUUAAGCGCAAAGUAAAAGAUAAUUUGCGUCCGUCUGCGAGGUAGGACUGAAGAUUCUAUAGAGUGGGCUUCCGAGGAGCAGGAGACACAGGGCGAGCAUGAGAACAUAGGUCUGGAAUGAGGUUCCACCGAGCGUCCGUAGUCUCCUUAGGCGACAUCUAUCGCUUCCUUUAGCACUUCGCAGGAGUCAACGCGGGGUUGGUUGCCCCCAACAGUGGAGCGUUUCCAUAAAGCCGAGCAGAUGAGCCUUCCCAGCCGCCUGCACUGCACCCUUCCCCGCCCCCAACUCCGUACUGGCACCCUGUGUGCCUGAAGGGCUGACACACGUUCUCCCAAAACCUUCAGAAGCGCUUUGCCUUGAAAGAGCUCUCCCUCGUGUGUGUGUGUGUGUGUGUGUGUGUGUGUGUGUGUGUGUGUGUGUGUGUGUGUUUAAACCAUCUCCAGGAUCCCUUAUCAUUUGCUUCCUCUCUCCUUUUUCUCUCUGUUUCUCCCUGUCUUUUUUCUGACGCUUAAGUUUCAGGAUCUUUUAGUUUUUUUCCAUCACAUACAUGUGUAGGUUUUCUGGUACAAACGCCCUGAAACAUCACUUGGGAGGUUAAGACAGGCCCGCGAGUAAAAGCUGGGGACGGAGUGGGUGGGCAGCCAGGUGCAUUACCAGCGCCUUUAUGCCUCUGCCUACACUUCCCGGCCUCCCCCCAUCCCCCCACCCCCCCACCCCACGCCUCACCGUCGCUCCCCGGCCCCACAACAUGAACUUGGAAGCAGAAUUUCAGGCCAAGAUGGAACCUCCCCGUCUCAGGAAGGCGAUUUCUGUUUAAUCCUUGGGAGGCUGCGCUGGCUGGGCCAGGCAGCACGCUCCUUUUCCGAUUAGGGAAAGGACUAAGCUGGGCCGGCAGUCUGCGACCCCUUCCCGGAACCCCAGCCGACUUCGGGGUAUACCUGAGCGCCUUCCGAUGGCUGCUCGCGGGGGUGUGAUCAUCGUCCCCGCAUCAGGCCCGCCAGGCAUCUGCGCGACUCGGGGCCUCAGGGGUUCUUCGGCAAAGAGGUAACGGGGCUUGGAUUUACCACAACUCUGCGGCCACGUUUUCAAAUUUGGAAAAGGCGAUUUAUGCGAGAAAGGGCCAAUUUGAACACUGGUAACUAGUGGGAGAAAUAAACUUAUAAGCCACAAACACAUCGGUUCGCAACCGAGCCCACAGCCCCGCGAGGCGCCCCUUCUUCCCAGCUCCCGGAGGAUAACUUCAUUGACUGGCAGGUCGGCGGCCACUUCUGGGAGGGCCACUGUUUACCGAAUGAGAACCUCUCAUGGCACAGUCCUUACAGCAGGGCUGCCCUGUCGCCCUUGCGCGUCCGGGUGCCGGGUCCCGGCGGUGUUCUGCAGCGCGAUCCGGUCCCCGUGCCCUGAGCCACCCAGAGCCCUGGGCCUGCCUGCACCCUGGGGCGCGCUGACUCCCUGGGUCGGGUGGGGGUCCCGGCAGGAUGCACUUCCAGCUGCGGGGUCCGCGGAGUUUGCUCGCACCUGGUUUGGCGCAGGGACGUAGGUUUGGGGGACUGUGUCCCCUGGGAAGAGCAAAAGGUGAAAAGGUCCCCUCUCCCACCAGUGUGCCCCAUCCCCGCCAGUUUUGACUGCGAUCCUAUUUUUCUCUUUGGGGGUCGCCUCAGCCUGUGCCGGAGGGAGUUGGGAGUUGGUCAGGCUUGGGCAGCGGUGGGUGGCAGCCCGGGAGCCGGAGCAGGAGCGCGAGGACCCGCGGACUGGGGCGCAGCGACGAUGGCGCACCGGCUUCUGUCUUCUGCUGCUUUGGGGCUGAGCAUCCGAGGGCGCCUUUCUCCCCAGCUGGACUCGGGGACGCCGGAUCACCCCGCCACCUGCCUCUUGGCCUAAUUCUGGAAGCUUCUCGCCUCCGUUCCUGGACGGCUCUUCCUCAGGGGCAGCAAUGAGCCCCGGGGUGCGCUCAUCUCCUCCGAGAUCAAUUGCUCUACGAUUCCUUUUAGGACUUGCAGGGGGGAGAGGUUGGGGACCCCGGCCCCAGAGUGGCUCCUGCGGCACGGCGGCCCACUCGGAGGGGUCGCAACAAGCGCGCAUUUGUGGCCAAGGUUGUGAUUUCAGGUGCGCUAAUGGGAUCAGACGUCCUGGGAGAAGCGUGAGGGGAUUGGUGCCGUUCCUUCUCCCGGCUUCCAGCGGCCGCCGGGUGGAAGUGGGGACACAGGAGGGCCGCGCUACGGGCGCCCAGCGCGGGCGCUCACACCUCUUGAGGAGGCGUGGAACCCAGCGCCCCAGGUGGGGGUAGGGCGCGGGGGUAUAGGUAGUGAGGGGUGACGCUGGGAGAGGACCGGGAGACGGAGGAAAGGAGACAGCCGGGGACACUACUGAGAGAGGGAGUAAGAGAGUGCGCUGCAGAACCGGGGACAGAGCGGCAGAACCGACCGAGAGCUGGAAUUGGAUUGCGUCCUGUCCCAGCACCAGGACACAGAUAAACAGCCUCCCAGCACUGGUACUCGCCAGAGAAGGGGAAACCCGCGUCCCGCGCUGCUGCUUUCUGCUUCGGAGAACCUUAUCUAGACUUUUGCAUAAUUGCGUGUUGGCUUUCCUAAAUAAUUCGGAAGAGCGAUUUCUGCUUCCACUUGUUCACAUAGGCAAACAAUCCCUGUGGGGAAAAUGUGUGUGUGUGUGUGUGUGUGUGCGCGCGCGCGCGCGCGCGUUCCGGUGACAAUUGAGGCCAGAGGCAAACACAUCCUCUUUCAAAAUGUCCCUUAGGUGAUCCCGUAAAUGACUGUCCUGCUCUAGGCAGUGGGAGUCAUCAUCCACUGGGUAGGGGGCUGUGAUUACUCUGCCUAGGGACCACUUUUCACAGCUCCUUCCCCACCGUAGAUAAGGGUGUUAAAUCAAGGCAUUUAGUUCUACUUUUCCAUUGCACAGAUAAGCAAGCUGAGACCCAGAUAGGUUAAGUGAAGUAUCCAAUUUCUUCUCUCCUUUUCUUUUCUGUAUGCCUCAAGAUGGUUUUAUACACACACACACACACACACAUACAUACACACACACACACACCCUGAACUACGAAAAACAUCACAACUACGGAAGAAACAUUUUUUACUCUUCUUAUUUCCUAAGAAGACCAAAAGUCAGAGCUUGUCUUCUGUCAGAAGCAGAUGGGUGUGUGAUGGCAGUGUGUGAGUGUGCAAGUGUGGGGGGGCUGGGCGUUGGCGCCAUCCUUCCUCCUUCCCUGCUCCAUCCCUGACUCCAUCACCGAGCCCCUUCAGGGAAACACAAGGCAGGAGGUUGUACCGCUAUGCAGAAGACCCCUCCAGGUAGGGAGCUUGAAGAAAUGAAACAGCAGGGAGAACCUGUAUUUGGUGGUGAAAGUGCUGGAAUCUUCUAGGCCUUGCUCAUCUCCAACCAGCUACUUCUCCAAAAUAAAGCAAAACAAAACAAAACAAAACAAGGCAAACAACAACCACCACAGGCCUUUUGCAUCAACUUCCUGUGACUAAGUGACCCUAAGCAGAGAACUGGCUCAGGUCACUUAGGGCAGGGGUAGGACAUUGAAGGCCUUAUUUACUCCAGGAUUAAAAACAGCAUCCCCUCUAACCCUGUCUCUCUUGGGCAGCCUGUCUUUUAAGGAUGUGAAAAGCAGCUUCUUGGAGUCUAAACAGGCACAAUACCCCACUGGGAUGUUUAGGUAUCAGGUUCACAAAAACAGCAUUUUACUCCUGCUUCCCCGAACCCCUUUGCAACCCAGGCUACCAUACUCUUUGCAAGAAUAUCCGGUAUCUUUUCCGGGCAAAAUGAAUUGAGUUGGCACUUCCUGAAAUAUUUUUAUUUUUAGCUUCAAAUAAUUUUGCUCCUAAAACAAAUUAGUUACUUAUCCUCUUCUCACCAUGCCCUAAUUAUUUUUAGCUUUAUUCUAAUUUUUUUUGUUACCUUGAAUUUUGUCUUGAUUUGAGAGUUUGGUAUAGAAUACUUGUUUGCAGACUGGUAAUCUGCAGUUUAUUUUGUUUUUAAAAAACUCUGUGAAGUUUACUGUUGUUUUAAAACUCAUGGAAUAUUAACAAAAAAUAACCUAAUAAUAUUCUUCGAGGCUUAAACUUUGGUUAUAGUCUAUGUCCUAGCCUAGCUUUUAUGAUAAGCCUGUUGCAUUUUAAAGGUGCUUAUUGAUUCACAUGUCUUUCAGUAAAAAAUCUUUUGAGGAACCCAGACUUUUGAAAGCUAUUUAAUUUGCAUGUAUUUGGUCAUUACAGGCUAAAACUGAAGAAUGAGUUUGGAAAUUGGUUCUAUUAGAAAACACUGUUUGCACAUCCAAAUGUUCCCAGUCAAGAUUUCCCAAUAGUGGCAGUGAGAAAGAGAGGCAGAGAGAAUUAGGAUACUUGGGUUCAAAUUUUAGCUUAGUCACUGAUGGGCUGAUUGAGUGAGAAGAACUUAAUCACCUGCAAAAUGAAUUGCUUACAGUAUUUUGAUCUCUAAAUACACUUUUGAUUCUGAUAUUUAAUGAUUUUGUAUUACAAAAUUGGGCAGAAAACGCAUAGCUUCAUAACAAGCAAAAAAUUUUACUGUUAACACAUCAUACUUAUUUUAGAGUAAAUUUGAAGGAGGUUGAUGUUUUGGAAUUUGGUUGGAGAGUUAUCCAAAAGCAAUGUUUCCCUGACUCAACUACAACCAAUUACACACAGUGGCCAGUAGGAAAAGGAUUAAGUUGUCCAGACAAAAUAUAAUGGUAACAAAAAAUAAUCUUGUGCUUUUGACAUCUUUCUGUUUACUUGUUUUUGUCUUGUUCUAAUGCCCCCUGAAUUACUAUUUUCUAAAAAACAGUCUCAUCUAAAAUAAAACAUAGUAAUGUGUUUUCAAAUGAGACAUUUUAUUGUAGUUACGAUUUCUUUUGUAUAUUUUCCUAAUGCAGACUACAAUAAAUACACUAAAAUAUUUCAAAUGGUUUGCUUGUGUAUAUGCUCUUAAGUCGUCUUUAUCCCACUUUGGGAAGCAUAUGCUGUGUUCUGAACAGUUUUAACUUUAUAUAUCAGCAUGACUAAGUCCUUUCAACAACUAUCACGCAAAGACCACGGAGAGCAGAACUAUUCAGGAUAUCAAGAAAUGAACACUAAUGAAUAGGAAACAAUGAACCCUAAUUUUAGGAAGAAAUUAGUUUUGCAAUUCAGCAUUGUCAUUUAAAGUGGAAUUGUGUCUCGUAAAACUUCUGUAACUGCCAUACUUGUUGCUAUCAGUAAAUUCUAUGAAGUCUCUAUUUUACACGACAGCAUUUUGAAAUGUAAUUGCUACAGUUUUAGAUAUUUCUAAGGCCUGAAUUUAUUAUAACAGGCAAUUUUUGAAAAAUAUACCAGAUUCAAUUAAAAAAUGGCAAUAAUUUCUCAUAAAAACCUUCAAAACAUUGAAAUCUGUGUUUUAUAUUCCAGGGAAUAAAAACAUAAAAACUUUACUUUGGACUUAAAAAAAAAAUUCAUUCACUCUCAAUUCCCCGCUUCUUUGAGAUCCUCCCGACAGGGAAAUUGUCAGAAGAAUUCCUUAAUACCUUCAGGCACUGUAAACUCCACAUAUGGAUCUUUAAGUCUGAAAAUGACAACUUAGAUUUUCGUUGAAAGAUAUACCUGAAAGAACUAAAGUAAACAGAAAGAUGUCAAAAGCACAGGAUUUUUUUUGGUACCAUUAAAUUUUGUCUGGAUAUUUGUUGGUGUUUUAGAAGUUAAAACACUUAGUCCCGUCUCCACUGGCCAGACAACAAAAGUUGUCUAACUUUUGGAGGCACUUUCCCUACUGCCUAAGCAUGCUAAGGCAUUGCUUAGCAUGACCAGGAUGCUUAAGAACUUGAAAUUCACAAAGUUGAAAAUAGAGAGUUAUGGCUCUUUUAAUAACUGUCACUUUAUCCUGAUUCUCAGUCAAUAUCCAAGCACAAUGUAGAGUGUGGAUGAACUUCAAAUGCUCUGGAACCAGCUACUGCUUUGAAGGUCAAACUCAGUCAUAUUUAAAAUUUCAGCAAUAUCACACUACUGGCAAUUGUUGGCUCAAUGAGACCAACUGCUCUCCUGACCUGGUAAGAACCAAGUGCCCACAGCCGCUUUCCUGACUUAUGAUUCUGUAUCUGGUAGCUACCUUUUUUCUCCUUGAGUAUUUAACGCUCUUUAAUUUUGCACUUUUGCAUUUCUUUGACAGUUGGCUAGCAUCCUUUAAAAAUUCUAGCCUAAUUUAGACCAAAAAGUACUAUAUAUUUUUGGAUAUUCUUAACCCGUUAGGUGCUUAGGGCUUAUUUGUUCAGGAGUUCAACCAAUAAGCCUUCCUCAGUGCUUUUAGCUUUUUACUCCAGGAAGGAAUUAGUUUGAAUUGCUCCAAAAUUGUCUUCUUUUUAUUUUCUCUUUCCUUUCCUAUGAGUCUGUAAUUUAGUUCUGCUGACACAGUUGAUUAACCCCAUACUGGGGAGUUGAUUAAAAACACUUUCUAAAAAUGUAUACUCCUAUUGCUGGUAUUAGUCAGCAUUUUUUUUGGCCUAUCACUUUUUAAGUUUCAGUUUAUCAAAAUCUUUCCACUCCAAUAAUUCUAAAUGGGCACACUUUAAAAGCUACAUACCUAGUUCUUUUUAAUAUAGGCUAUUCUUACGGCACUCUCUCUAAUGUACCUCCUAUAUUAGAAUCAUUCCAGGGAGCAGCAAGUGGUCUUAAAGACAUCUAUAAAGCCAUAUAUGAGCCAGGAGCUGAUGUGAACAAUAAUCACAAAUCUAUGAGCCAAGUUUGUUCUUCUCUUUGUGCUUAGGGGACCAUUCAGUUGUGCGACAGAUUCCCUCUUGAAGAACACUUCCUCAAAAAAAUUCUUAACCAUUGUCAUAGACUGAAGGAAGCUGCUCGGGGUCAUUACGUACUUUGUACUCUCCAGUUAACCUAGACACCAAAGCCAUUCCCACCAUCCUACUUCUGUCUUCUUGGAAACUUUCAAGAAGACGUGAGCUUUAAAGACUGUUUCAGAGUUUACAUGCCUCUUUCAUUGUCACUGACAUUUUUCGGAUCGUGAUUAAAAAGGCCAGUCUGUUGCAAAUUUCAUAAAUUAGUCUUUUCUCUCUGUUCUGCUGUCAGGUUGCCCUUCUCACUAAUGUCACCACAUGUCACUGCUGCCCUAGCCAAUCUCAAUUUGACUGAAAGGGUUUGACUAACUUUUGGGUCCUGUUUCCUAUAAUUGGUAACUUUGCCAACUUUUUGGUUUUACACUGUUUCACUCAGAAUAUUAUUAUUCAGGCAAAGUUAAUUUUCUGUUCUAAACAAGUCUUUGAUACUCAGGGAUAUGAUUGAGAAUUCAAUUUUUGUCUUUAACAAAACAUCACAGUUUGCAAAACAUCCCCCUUCCCCUCUUCAGGUCUACUAUCUUAGUUUACUCCUCCAAACCCUGUAAGAACAUACCAUCAGCCCUAUUUCACAGAUGAGGGCCACACAAUUGUUUAGAAUCAAAGACUGUGUACCG
rnacentral:lncRNA from 1 species